ACUNGCCAUGCAUGUCUAAGUAUAAAUGUUAUACAGUGAAACUGCGAAUGGCUCAUUAAAACAGUUAUAGUUUAUUUGAUAAUCGAAUUUACAUGGAUAACCGUGGUAAUUCUAGAGCUAAUACAUGCUGUUAAGCCCAACUUUUAGGAAGGGCUGUAUUUAUUAGAUAACAAACCAAUAUUCCUUGUGUCUAUUGUGAUGACUCAUAAUAACUGAUCGAAUCGCAUGGGCUUUGCCCGCGAUACAUCAUUCAAGUUUCUGCCCCAUCAGCUUUCGAUGGUAGUGUAUUGGACUACCAUGGCGUUCACGGGUAACGGAGGAUUAGGGUUCGAUUCCGGAGAGGGAGCCUGAGAAACGGCUACCACAUCUAAGGAAGGCAGCAGGCGCGUAAAUUACCCAAUCCUGACUCAGGGAGGUAGUGACAAGAAAUAACGGACCGAAGCCUAUGUUUCGGGAUUGCAAUGAGUAGAAUUUAAACCCCUUUACGAGGAUCAAUUGGAGGGCAAGUCUGGUGCCAGCAGCCGCGGUAAUUCCAGCUCCAAUAGCGUAUAUUAAAGUUGUUGCAGUUAAAAAGCUCGUAGUUGGAUUUCUGGAGGGGUGCCAAUGUCCGAUUGUUUCGUGUGCAGCGGCGCCCUUCCAUCCUUCUGUUAACGUUUCUGAUAUUCAUUUAUUGGUCUCGGGCUCAGAUAUUUUACCUUGAGAAAAUUAGAGUGUUCCAGGCAGGCUUGCGCCGGAAUACAUUAGCAUGGAAUAAUAGAAUAGGACUUUAGUCUCCUUUGUUGGUUUGAGGGACUGAAGUAAUGAUUAAUAGGGAUAGUUGGGGGCAUAAGUAUUUAAUUGUCAGAGGUGAAAUUCUCGGAUUUGUUAAAGACUAACUUAUGCGAAAGCAUUUGCCAAGGAUGUUUUCAUUAAUCAAGAACGAAAGUUAGGGGGAUCAAAGACGAUCCGAUACCGGCCCAGUCUGAACCAUAAACUNUGCCGACUAGGGAAUCGGAGGGGNCCCCUUNACCGCCCUUGGGCACCUUUAGAAGAAAUCAAAGNCUUUGGGAUNNGGGGGGAGUAUGGUCGCAAGGCUGAAACUUAAAGGAAUUGACGGAAGGGCACCACCAGGAGUGGAGCUUGCGGCUCAAUUUGACUCAACACGGGAAAACUUACCAGGUCCAGACAUAGUGAGGAUUGACAGAUUGAUAGCUCUUUCUUGAUUCUAUGGGUGGUGGUGCAUGGCCGUUCUUAGUUGGUGGAGUGAUUUGUCUGGUUAAUUCCGUUAACGAACGAGACCUUAGCCUACUAACUAGUCGAUCCGUUGUUAAGCGGACUUGACUUCUUAGAGGGACUUUGUGACUAAACACAAGGAAGUUUGAGGCAAUAACAGGUCUGUGAUGCCCUUAGAUGUCCUGGGCCGCACGCGUGCUACACUGACGCAUACAGCGAGUACUUCCCAGCUCCGUGAGGCAGCUGGUAAUCAGCAAUAUGCGUCGUGAUGGGGAUAGAUCUUUGGAAUUAUAGAUCUUGAACGAGGAAUUCCUAGUAAGCGCAAGUCAUUAGCUUGCGCUGAUUAAGUCCCUGCCCUUUGUACACACCGCCCGUCGCUCCUACCGAUUUCGAGUGUUCCGGUGAACCAUUUGGACCACGCGGUCUUCGUGACUGUGAGGAAAAUCUAGUAAACCAUAACACUAGAGAAGGAGAAGUNG
rnacentral:rRNA from 1 species